AAGGUCGUAACAAGGUUUCCCGUAGGUGAACCCUGCGGAAGGAUCAUUAAAAUGUGAUUGGUUAUACAUUUCCAUGUAUCAACUGCAUUAAUCCCAAUUCCGAGUACCUUGCCCUGUUUGCUUCCAUUGGGGGUCCCUUGACCUAGGUCACUCUUGUGAUGUGAAAUCCCCGAAAUGAGAGCCCCCCAAUUGGGGAAGGUAAUCAUUAAAUUUCAUGUAUCCAAUGUCUUCUGUCUGAACCGUUUGAUAACAAAUUGUUAAAAU
rnacentral:misc_RNA from 1 species